AUCGAUGAUGGGGAUGGAGUCCCCCGAAACUGCCGCAGAGGCUGAUGACUCCUAUCGCGUU
rnacentral:ncRNA from 1 species